GUGGGGAAUAUUGGACAAUGGGCGCAAGCCUGAUCCAGCCAUGCCGCGUGAGUGAUGAAGGCCUUAGGGUUGUAAAAUUCUUUCACCGGGGACGAUAAUGACGGUACCCGGAGAAGAAGCCCCGGCUAACUUCGUGCCAGCAGCCGCGGUAAUACGAAGGGGGCUAGCGUUGCUCGGAAUUACUGGGCGUAAAGGGCGCGUAGGCGGACAGUUUAGUCAGAGGUGAAAGCCCAGGGCUCAACCUUGGAAUUGCCUUUGAUACUGGCUGUCUUGAGUACGGGAGAGGUGAGUGGAACUCCGAGUGUAGAGGUGAAAUUCGUAGAUAUUCGGAAGAACACCAGUGGCGAAGGCGACUCACUGGCCCGUUACUGACGCUGAGGCGCGAAAGCGUGGGGAGCAAACAGGAUUAGAUACCCCUGUAGUCC
rnacentral:rRNA from 1 species